UAAAUAGCUUUUAAGACUUUGGUACCUCACUCAACCCUGAAAUAAUAAUGUCGAUUUGGGGGUCAUUCAACAAUGCAAUAUUCCCUGAUUAUUUUGGGGAUGAAUUUGGGUUGCCUCUGCCACCGCCGCAAAGCUCCAUUAUGAAAAUCGGAGCAACAGCAACCCAACCAUCAGAGUUGGGUAAUACGGGGGUUACCAAAGCAGCCCUUAAGGACACAAACAAUGGGUUGAUGAGGUGCCUGAGGAUGGCGGAGAAGAAGGGAGCAUUAGCCUACGCUCCCAUCUUUGAUGGCUUGUAUUGCUUUGAAACUCUUGUGUACUACUGAUUUCAAGUAAUCAUUUUCCAAGUGGAAUUUUUAGUUGUGUAUUCCCCAAAGUUAAUAAAAUUUAUUAUCGCUAAUUUGUGACUCCACAUUUGUUCAUUAGUAUUAAUUAUCUCCGUAAUUUUAUUUAAAUAAUUUAAUCAAAUCAUUAUAAACACAAGUACUCAAAAUUCACUCUAGAUGAAUUGAUACAUUACACUAACAUAUUAC
rnacentral:lncRNA from 1 species